GAUGAACGCUGGCGGCGUGCCUAAUACAUGCAAGUCGAGCGAACGGACGAGAAGCUUGCUUCUCUGAUGUUAGCGGCGGACGGGUGAGUAACACGUGGAUAACCUACAUAUAAGACUGGGAUAACUUCGGGAAACCGGAGCUAAUACCGGAUAAUAUUUUGAACCGCAUGGUUCAACAGUGAAAGACGGUCUUGCUGUCACUUAUAGAUGGAUCCGCGCUGCAUUAGCUAGUUGGUAAGGUAACGGCUUACCAAGGCAACGAUGCAUAGCCGACCUGAGAGGGUGAUCGGCCACACUGGAACUGAGACACGGUCCAGACUCCUACGGGAGGCAGCAGUAGGGAAUCUUCCGCAAUGGGCGAAAGCCUGACGGAGCAACGCCGCGUGAGUGAUGAAGGUCUUCGGAUCGUAAAACUCUGUUAUUAGGGAAGAACAUAUGUGUAAGUAACUGUGCACAUCUUGACGGUACCUAAUCAGAAAGCCACGGCUAACUACGUG
rnacentral:rRNA from 1 species